AUUGAACGCUGGCGGCAGGCUUAACACAUGCAAGUCGAGCGGAGAUGAGGUGCUUGCACCUUAUCUUAGCGGCGGACGGGUGAGUAAUGCUUAGGAAUCUGCCUAUUAGUGGGGGACAACAUUCCGAAAGGAAUGCUAAUACCGUAUACGUCCUACGGGAGAAAGCAGGGGAUCUUCGGACCUUGCGCUAAUAGAUGAGCCUAAGUCGGAUUAGCUAGUUGGUGGGGUAAAGGCAUACCAAGGCGACGAUCUGUAGCGGGUCUGAGAGGAUGAUCCGCCACACUGGGACUGAGACACGGCCCAGACUCCUACGGGAGGCAGCAGUGGGGAAUAUUGGACAAUGGGGGGAACCCUGAUCCAGCCAUGCCGCGUGUGUGAAGAAGGCCUUAUGGUUGUAAAGCACUUUAAGCGAGGAGGAGGCUACUGAGACUAAUACUCUUGGAUAGUGGACGUUACUCGCAGAAUAAGCACCGGCUAACUCUGUGCCAGCCGCCGCAGUAACAC
rnacentral:rRNA from 1 species